GACGAACGCUGGCGGCGUGCUUAAUACAUGCAAGUCAACUUGACUUUAGAUAGCAAUAUCGAAAAGUAGGGUGGCGCACGGGUGCGUAACGCGUAGGUAAUCUGCCCUGAGGUCUGACAUAACCCGUCGAAAGGCGGGCUAACAUCAGAUGAUAUAUAAUCACGACAUCGUGGAAAUAUCAAAUCUUCGGAGCCUUGGGAUGAGCCUGCGUCGGAUUAGGUAGUUGGCGGAGUAAUAGCCCACCAAGCCUACGAUCAGUAGCUGGUCUGAGAGGAUGAUCAGCCACACUGGAACUGAGACACGGUCCAGACUCCUACGGGAGGCAGCAGUAAGGAAUAUUGCUCAAUGGGGGAAACCCGUGAAGCAGCAACGCCGCGUGAAGGAUGAAAUACUUUUGUAUGUAAACUUCUGUAAGAUGGGAAAAAUAUUCUCCUCGGGAGAAUUGAUUGUACCAUCAGAGUAAGACCCCGGCUAACUACGUAGCCAGCAGCCG
rnacentral:rRNA from 1 species